rnacentral:rRNA from 1 species
GACGAACGCUGGCGGCGUGCCUAAUACAUGCAAGUAGAAGCUAGUUGCGAACGGGUGAGUAACGCGUAGGAACCUGCCUCAUAGCGGGGGAUAACUAUUGGAAACGAUAGCUAAUACCGCAUACUGUGAGAUGGACCUGCGUUGUAUUAGCUAGUUGGUGGGGUAACGGCUCACCAAGGCGACGAUCCGUAGCUGGUUUGAGAGGAGGACCAGCCAAACUGGAACUGGGACACGGCCCAGACUCCUACGGUAGGCAGCAGUGGGGAAUUUUGGACAAUGGGGGAAACCCUGAUCCAGCCAUCCCGCGUGGGCGAGGAGGGCCUUCGGGUUGUAAAGCACUUUUGGCAGGAAAGCGGUACCUGCAGAAUAAGCAACGGCUAACUACGUGCCAGCAGCCGCGGUAAUAC